rfam:Rattus norvegicus strain BN/SsNHsdMCW Contig16222, whole genome shotgun sequence.
UUGUGUGAGUGGCUUGGAAACACUCUCAGCUCUUAGAGUCCUAUUCGUGAAGGAACAGAAUGCGAACGGCCUGGAGCUAUGCUCAACUUAGGAGUAGCUGUGUCUUUACCACAGGAUGUGUGCCUUGAGCACCCAGGAAACAGCCUUGCUAAAAGAAGG